GACGAACGCUGGCGGCGUGCUUAACACAUGCAAGUCGAACGGAAAGGCCCUGCUUUUGUGGGGUGCUCGAGUGGCGAACGGGUGAGUAACACGUGAGUAACCUGCCCUUGACUUUGGGAUAACUUCAGGAAACUGGGGCUAAUACCGGAUAGGAGCUCCUGCUGCAUGGUGGGGGUUGGAAAGUUUCGGCGGUUGGGGAUGGACUCGCGGCUUAUCAGCUUGUUGGUGGGGUAGUGGCUUACCAAGGCUUUGACGGGUCGCCGGCCUGAGAGGGUGACCGGCCACAUUGGGACUGAGAUCGGGCCCAGACUCCUACGGGAGGAAGCAGUGGGGAAUAUUGCACAAUGGUCGGAAGCCUGAUGCAGCAACGCCGCGUGCGGGAUGACGGCCUUCGGGUUGUAAACCGCUUUCGCCUGUGACGAAGCGUGAGUGACGGUAAUGGGUAAAGAAGCACCGGCUAACUACGUG
rnacentral:rRNA from 1 species